AUUGAACGCUGGCGGUAUGCUUAACACAUGCAAGUCGAACGAUGAGAAAGAGCUUGCUCUUUCGAUUAGUGGCGGACGGGUGCGUAACGCGUAGGAAUCUACCUAUUAGUGGGGGACAACUUAGGGAAACUUAAGCUAAUACUGCAUACGCACUACGGGGGAAAGAAGGGGAUCGCAAGACCUUUUGCUAACAGAUGAGCCUGCGUAGGUGUAGAUAGUUGGUGGGGUCAAAGCUCACCAAGGCGACGAUCCUUAACUGGUUUGAGAGAAUGGUCAGUCACGCUGGAACUGAGACACGGUCCAGACUCCUACGGGAGGCAGCAGUGGGGAAUAUUGGACAAUGGGCGAAAGCCUGAUCCAGCAAUACCGCGUGUGUGAAGAAGGCCUUAGGGUUGUAAAGCACUUUCAAUUGGAAGGAAAACCUCGAAGCUAAUACCUUCGAGUUUGACAUUACCUUUAGAAGAAGCACCGGCUAACUCCGUGCCAGCCGCCGCAGUAA
rnacentral:rRNA from 1 species